rnacentral:rRNA from 1 species
GACGAACGCUGGCGGCGCGCCUAACACAUGCAAGUCGAACGAGCGAGAGAGAGCUUGCUUUCUCGAGCGAGUGGCGAACGGGUGAGUAACGCGUAAGGAACCUGCCUCAAAGAGGGGGACAACAGUUGGAAACGACUGCUAAUACCGCAUAAGCCCACGGCUCGGCAUCGAGCAGGGGGAAAAGGAGCAAUCCGCUUUGAGAUGGCCUCGCGUCCGAUUAGCUAGUUGGUGGGGUAACGGCCCACCAAGGCGACGAUCGGUAGCCGGACUGAGAGGUUGAACGGCCACAUUGGGACUGAGACACGGCCCAGACUCCUACGGGAGGCAGCAGUGGGGAAUAUUGCACAAUGGGGGAAACCCUGAUGCAGCGACGCCGCGUGGAGGAAGAAGGUCUUCGGAUUGUAAACUCCUGUUGUUGGGGAAGAUAAUGACGGUACCCAACAAGGAAGUGACGGCUAACUACGUG